GAUGAACGCUGGCGGCGUGCUUAACACAUGCAAGUCGAACGAUGAAGCCGGAGCUUGCUCUGGUGAAUUAGUGGCGAACGGGUGAGUAACACGUGAGUAACCUGCCCUUGACUCUGGGAUAACUGCGGGAAACUGUAGCUAAUACCGGAUACGACCCUCGGCGGCAUCGCCAGGGGGUGGAAAGAAUUUCGGUCAAGGAUGGACUCGCGGCCUAUCAGCUAGUUGGUGAGGUAACGGCUCACCAAGGCGACGACGGGUAGCCGGCCUGAGCGGGUGACCGGCCACACUGGGACUGAGACAAGGCCCAGACUCCUACGGGAGGCAGCAGUGGGGAAUAUUGCUCAAUGGGCGCAAGCCUGAUGCAGCGACGCCGCGUGAGGGAUGACGGCCUUCGGGUUGUAAACCUCUUUCAGCACAGACGAAGCGCAAGUGACGGUAUGUGCAGAAGAAGGACCGGCCAACUACGUGCCAGCCGCCGCAGUAA
rnacentral:rRNA from 1 species